CCCCGCAGUGCUGUGACUGUAUUUCAUGCCUUACUAGUGGUAUCUGGACCUGUUUCUGUGUGUGUACCUUGGAAGACCGAAAGCUGUUGGAUUUCGUGAAUUGAAGAUGCCUACAAGAAAUAUAUCUUAGAGCUAUCAUCUAGCAUGAUCUGUAAAGGUGUUGAAGACGCUGUACAUCAGGCAAGAGUGUGAUUGUUCAACAGACAUGUCAGAGGGAUGAUGAAUGAUAUCAAUAAAAAAUAAAAAAAUAGAA